GGCAACAGCUCAAAUUUGAAAUCUGGCUCUCGGGCCCGAGUUGUAAUUUGUAGAGGAUACUUUUGAUGCGGUGCCUUCCGAGUUCCCUGGAACGGGACGCCAUAGAGGGUGAGAGCCCCGUCUGGUUGGAUGCCAAAUCUCUGUAAAGUUCCUUCAACGAGUCGAGUAGUUUGGGAAUGCUGCUCUAAAUGGGAGGUAUAUGUCUUCUAAAGCUAAAUACCGGCCAGAGACCGAUAGCGCACAAGUAGAGUGAUCGAAAGAUGAAAAGCACUUUGAAAAGAGAGUUAAAAAGUACGUGAAAUUGUUGAAAGGGAAGCGUUUAUGACCAGACUUGGGCUUGGUUAAUCAUCUGGGGUUCUCCCCAGUGCACUUUUCCAGUCCAGGCCAGCAUCAGUUUUCCCCGGGGGAUAAAGGCGGCGGGAAUGUGGCUCUCUUCGGGGAGUGUUAUAGCCCACCGUGUAAUACCCUGGGGGGGACUGAGGUUCGCGCAUCUGCAAGGAUGCUGGCGUAAUGGUCAUCAACGACCCGUCUUG
rnacentral:rRNA from 1 species